GAUGAACGCUGGCGGCGUGCCUAAUACAUGCAAGUCGAGCGGAAAGGCCCUUCGGGGUACUCGAGCGGCGGACGGGUGAGUAACGCGUACGAAUGUACCCGAAAGUGAGGAAUAAAAGCUCGAAAGAGUAGCGAAGGCCGCUUCGGCUCUUCGGUGGAUAGCUUUAUGCGCUUUGGGAACAGCUUGCGUCUGAUUAGCUAGUUGGUAAGGUAACGGCUUACCAAGGCGACGAUCAGUAGCUGGUCUGAGAGGAUGAUCAGCCACACUGGGACUGAGACACGGCCCAGACUCCUACGGGAGGCAGCAGUAGGGAAUUUUCCACAAUGGACGAGAGUCUGAUGGAGCAACGCCGCGUGAUGGAUGAAGGCCUUCGGGUCGUAAACAGCUUUUGUCUGUGACGAAUAUGACGGUAGCAGACGAAUAAGGAUCGGCUAACUACGUGCCAGCCGCCGCGGUAA
rnacentral:rRNA from 1 species